rnacentral:rRNA from 1 species
GACGAACGCUGGCGGCGUGCUUAACACAUGCAAGUCGAGCGGUAAGGCCCUUUCGGGGGUACACGAGCGGCGAACGGGUGAGUAACACGUGGGUGACCUGCCCUCAGCUCUGGGAUAAGCCUGGGAAACUGGGUCUAAUACUGGAUAUGACUCCACGGUGCAUGUCGUGGGGUGGAAAGCCUUGUGCGGCUGAGGAUGGGCCCGCGGCCUAUCAGCUUGUUGGUGGGGUGANGGCCUACCAAGGCGACGACGGGUAGCCGGCCUGAGAGGGCGACCAGCCACACUGGGACUGAGACACGGCCCAGACUCCUACGGGAGGCAGCAGUGGGGAAUCUUGCGCAAUGGGCGAAAGCCUGACGCAGCGACGCCGCGUGAGGGAUGACGGCCU